AUUUCACGUGUAGGGGUAAAAUCCGUAGAGAUGUGAAGGAACACCGGGGGCGAAGGCGCCUGCCUGGACGACUAUUGACGCUGAGGCGCGAAAGCGUGGGGAGCAAACAGGAUUAGAUACCCUGGUAGUCCACGCCGUAAACGAUGAGUACUAGCUAUUGGGGGUAUUGACUCCUUCGGUGGCGCAGCUAACGCAUUAAGUACUCCGCCUGGGAAGUACGGUCGCAAGACUAAAACUCAAAGGAAUUGACGGGGUCCCGCACAAGCGGUGGAUUAUGUGGUUUAAUUCGAAGCAACGCGCAGAACCUUACCUAGGCUUGAAAUCCUUCGAAUCCCGAGUAAUUUUGGGAGUGCCCGCAAGGGAAUGAAGUGACAGGUGCUGCAUGGCUGUCGUCAGCUCGUGUUGUGAAAUGUUGGGUUAAGUCUCGCAACGAGCGCAACCCCUAUCUUUAGUUGCCAGCAUUAAGUUGGGCACUCUAGAGAGACUGCCCGGGUUAACCGGGAGGAAGGUGGGGAUGACGUCAAGUCCUCAUGGCCCUUAUGCCUAGGGCUACACACGUAAUACAAUGGUUGGUACAGAGGGAAGCGACCCAGCGAUGGUGAGCAAAUCUCAAAAAGCCAAUCUCAGUCCGGAUUGGAGUCUGCAACUCGACUCCAUGAAGUUGGAAUCGCUAGUAAUCGCGGAUCAGCACGCCGCGGUGAAUACGUUCCCGGGCCUUGUACACACCGCCCGUCACACCAUGGGAGUUGUUUUCAUUUUAAGACGUGACU
rnacentral:rRNA from 1 species